UACCUGUGUUGUUUUCCCACAGAUAUCUACCCCAGGCCGAGGCCGCCGCCUCACCCGCAGCCUGGCCAUUCCGACAACGGCGGAGGUAGUUACUUCAACGACGUGGACCGCGACGACGGACGCUACCCGCCCAGGCCGAAGCCCAGGCCGCCGGCAGGAGGCGGCGGCGGCGGCGGUGGC